CCUCACGUUUCGAUUCAGUCCCCAGGAGGCCGUGACCGAGUUUGGAGGCUUUGCUAUUUAUCCAGCUCCUCGCUGUUUGCUGUGCUGGCAGCUGGCGUCACCGGCCUGUUUGAGGUCUGGGCUUCCCAAGGAGUGCUCCCGAUUCCUUUCUGCACCUUGACAAUGCGAAGCCAGGAGAUCAGCACUGCUAGCAGUGACCACGCUCGGUCCCAAAGUUUGCACACACGUUUGAGAUUCUCCUGUUCAAGCAGCGAUGACACCCGCUUAAUGUGUUUGCUCAGGCAGAGAAAAGGCUUCUGACGUGGGCGACUCGGUUAUUCGAGUCAAAGCAAACCACAGACAGCAGCAGAAGACGCGUCGCCAAAUGUCAGAAUGCAGGCUGCUGAAGUGGAGCUGGAGAUGGCAUUUGCUCUCCGGGUAAUGAGGAAAGACCAAGUGUUUAUAAGGCAGGGGACGGGGUGGUUAGCUCGGCCAGAGAGAACAUGCACCUGAAGGAGUUCUGCCAAGCUUUGUAGAAAGGCACCCACCAUACAGUCUCAGGCACCCAGAAGAUCCUGUUUGACCACAAUGGCAAGCACCGUGCUGGCUGCUAUCCUUAUCGCUGUGGUCUUUUCAAAUGCUUUCCUAGCAGCCGCUUCUCCUGCCAUGCCUGCAAAGCCAAAGCUUCCAACAGCUCAGAGGCAGAUGUCAUUGGAGAUCCCCAUAGCUGAUCAACAAGAAAGGAUCCUGAAUUUUUUGUCAGCAUUUGAUCCACAAAAAAGUGCCAGUCCCGUAGCAGACGCUAGAAUCAGUGGAAUCACAGCUUACGACAAGACACAUGGAAAGAAAGUCGAAAUGGGAGGUGUAAAGGAAGGUCCAUCUGAUCCUCCGGCUGAACUGAGAAAGGACCUCCCAGCAAUAAGUCCUCUACAAGGGAAGAGCUUCUGGAUGCCUGCACUGCCAACCUCCUGGAAAAUUAAGAGAGGUGGGACUUAAAGAGUGAUGCUGUACCUUGUCUAUCUUGUUGCUGGGUCAUUUUGGUACCAUAGCUAGAGUUGCAGAAGGUGCUAGAAGUGCCUAACUAAAAAAAAGUCUAGUGUAACCCGUAGCUUGGUCACUCAGUUUCCCCUAAGAUGUACCCACAGGUGAGAAAUCAGUUCAGUCUCUAGAGCCAUCCAAACUCUGGAUUCAUGCUAAUCAUGACAAGUGUUGAUGAUGCUCAAAAUAAAGAAGAAUCUAUCUGGGCCA
rnacentral:lncRNA from 1 species